AGAGCGAACGCUGGCGGCAGGCUUAACACAUGCAAGUCGAGCGCCCCGCAAGGGGAGCGGCAGACGGGAGAGUAACACGUGGGAACGUACCUUUCGGUUCGGAACAACCCAGGGAAACUUGGGCUAAUACCGGAUACGUCCGUAAGGAGAAAGAUUUAUCGCCGAAAGAUCGGCCCGCGUCUGAUUAGCUAGUUGGUGAGGUAACGGCUCACCAAGGCGACGAUCAGUAGCUGGUCUGAGAGGAUGAUCAGCCUCACUGGGACUGAGACACGGCCCAGACUCCUACGGGAGGCAGCAGUGGGGAAUAUUGGACAAUGGGCGCAAGCCUGAUCCAGCCAUGCCGCGUGGGUGAUGAAGGCCCUAGGGUUGUAAAGCCCUUUCGGCGGGGAAGAUAAUGACGGUACCGCAGAAGAAGCCCGGCUAACUUCGCGCCAGCAGCCGC
rnacentral:rRNA from 1 species